CCGUAUAAGCCUGCGUCUUCAUCAGUGCUAAUAAUAUCACAUAUUUAUAGCACUGAUGAAGAUCCAGGCUUACGA